rnacentral:rRNA from 1 species
AGUACCGUGAGGGAAAGGUGAAAAGCACCCCGGAAGGGGAGUGAAAUAGAUCCUGAAACCGUGUGCCUACAACAAGUCAAAGCUCGUUAAUGAGUGAUGGCGUGCCUUUUGUAGAAUGAACCGGCGAGUUACGAUUGCAUGCGAGGUUAAGUCGAAGAGACGGAGCCGCAGCGAAAGCGAGUCUGAAUAGGGCGAAUGAGUAUGUAGUCGUAGACCCGAAACCAUGUGAUCUACCCAUGUCCAGGUUGAAGGUGCGGUAAAACGCACUGGAGGACCGAACCCACGUACGUUGAAAAGUGCGGGGAUGAGGUGUGGGUAGCGGAGAAAUUCCAAACGAACUUGGAGAUAGCUGGUUCUCUCCGAAAUAGCUUUAGGGCUAGCCUCGGAAUUGAGAAUGAUGGAGGUAGAGCACUGUUUGGACUAGGGGCCCAUCUCGGGUUACCGAAUUCAGAUAAACUCCGAAUGCCAUUCAUUUAUAUCCGGGAGUCAGACUGCGAGUGAUAAGAUCCGUAGUCGAAAGGGAAACAGCCCAGACCACCAGCUAAGGUCCCAAAAUAUAUGUUAAGUGGAAAAGGAUGUGGGGUUGCACAGACAACUAGGAUGUUGGCUUAGAAGCAGCCACCAUUUAAAGAGUGCGUAAUAGCUCACUAGUCGAGUGACCCUGCGCCGAAAAUGUACCGGGGCUAA